rnacentral:rRNA from 1 species
UGAUUAGUGGCGGACGGGUGAGUAACAUUUAGGAAUCUACCUAGUAGUGGGGGAUAGCUCGGGGAAACUCGAAUUAAUACCGCAUACGACCUACGGGUGAAAGGGGGCGCAAGCUCUUGCUAUUAGAUGAGCCUAAAUCAGAUUAGCUAGUUGGUGGGGUAAAGGCCCACCAAGGCGACGAUCUGUAACUGGUCUGAGAGGAUGAUCAGUCACACCGGAACUGAGACACGGUCCGG